rnacentral:rRNA from 1 species
UAGGGAAUCUUCGGCAAUGGACGAAAGUCUGAACGAGCAACGCCGCGUGAGUGAAGAAGGUUUUUGGAUCGUAAAACUCUGUUGUUCGAGAAGAACAAGGACGUUAGUAACUGAACGUCCCCUGACGGUAUCUAACCAGAAAGCCACGGCUAACUACGUGCCAGCAGCCGCGGUAAUACGUAGGUGGCAAGCGUUGUCCGGAUUUAUUGGGCGUAAAGCGAGCGCAGGCGGUUUCUUAAGUCUGAUGUGAAAGCCCCCGGCUCAACCGGGGAGGGUCAUUGGAAACUGGGAGACUUGAGUGCAGAAGAGGAGAGUGGAAUUCCAUGUGUAGCGGUGAAAUGCGUAGAUAUAUGGAGGAACACCAGUGGCGAAGGCGGCUCUCUGGUCUGUAACUGACGCUGAGGCUCGAAAGCGUGGGGAGCAAACAGG